AUGCUGUAAAUGGCUGUGCACUGCUCCUUUGAGGGAUGGGUAAAAUGCAGAGAAUGAAUUUAGCUACAUGUAUGUGGAUGUGACAAUAAAGUACCUUUA